GCAUCAUCAAGUACUUCAGAGGUGGAAGAGAGGUCGCUUCUUACUGAUCUCUUUGUUCUAUCUUUAGGUCUCUUGUUUUCUACAUCAACUUUACACAUAAGGGACAGCUUUAAAAGAAAAGCAAAUUCAAGAUGGAUUUAUUCAAGAAGAGGCAGGCUUUAGGAGAACAAAACAAGACAUCACCAGGGAAGACUGACUUUGUGUAUGCCAUCUUUUCAAACCUGAGAUUACAAAUUAUAGCAAGUAAUAGAAAAUUCGAUUCCAUCCCGAAAAUUCGAUUCCAUGCACGAAAGCAGAAUGGGUGUCAGGGUUGGCUUAACUUAGUGAGUAUAACUUUUCUCUUCUUUUUUCUUUUUUUUUUUUUUUUUCAUUUUCCUUGACUUUGUUCCUUUUAGUACAAUGGGCUUUUCUUUAGUCUGACUUGCCUCAUGGAGGCUCAAG
rnacentral:lncRNA from 1 species